GGGGAUGUAACUUGGCUGGGGAGUGCUUGCCUAGCAUGUGAGAGGUCCUGGGUUCAAUCCCAGGCCUCCCCU
rnacentral:tRNA from 1 species